ACAGCUCCGCUGUAAAAAAAAGAAAAAGAAAAGAAAACUUAUCAGCUUAACAUCUAAUACGGGUCCUAUCUGGACCCAAUAUAUUCAACUUAUUUUCGGAAUGGGGCGGAGUGCUUGAAGCUUGCUUCGCGUCCACCACGGGUUGGCCCGGUAUUGCACUGACUCCGGGAUCGGCCCACUCACU